GACGAACGCUGGCGGCGUGCCUAAUACAUGCAAGUCGAGCGGAAGUUGGAGAGCUUGCUCUUCAACUUUAGCGGCGGACGGGUGAGUAACACGUGGGCAACCUGCCCUGCAGAUCGGGAUAACUCCGGGAAACCGGUGCUAAUACCGAAUAGUUUUCGCCACCUCCUGGUGGCGUACGGAAGACGGUUUCGGCUGUCACUGCAGGAUGGGCCCGCGGCGCAUUAGCUAGUUGGUGGGGUAACGGCCCACCAAGGCGACGAUGCGUAGCCGACCUGAGAGGGUGAUCGGCCACACUGGGACUGAGACACGGCCCAGACUCCUACGGGAGGCAGCAGUAGGGAAUCUUCCGCAAUGGACGAAAGUCUGACGGAGCAACGCCGCGUGAGUGACGAAGGUUUUCGGAUCGUAAAACUCUGUUGUGAGGGAAGAACAAGUACCAACUAACUACUGGUACCUUGACGGUACCUCACCAGAAAGCCACGGCUAACUACGUGCCAGCAGCCGCGGUAA
rnacentral:rRNA from 1 species